UUCUCUCAGAUGGGUGUUCUAAGCAGGUCUCCUCUGCGGGGAUAUGUUACCUCACCCGACUUGGACCUGCACCCAGCUCUCUGGGCUCUCCUCAUCAUACUUCUAACGUUUGGGAACCUGCCUGGCCCAGCCUGGCCUCUGGAGAGGUUCCCUCUGAGGCAGCUGCCCACCUCUGGCCAGUCAGCUGGACGAAGAAGGGCUGGAUGCAUUGAACAAAGAUGGGCCUCGUUCUCCUCCCCUGCCCACGCUGGGGUCCAACAGACACAGACUAAGCAGGUACCCAAGAAGACACCUACUUCCCUUUGGCCUGUCCCGGGGAGCAGGAGGAGGCCAGCUGGCUCGUUUUUCUGCCUAGUCCUUUCUCACUGCCAAGCAUCUUCAGGGGUCAGCAAAUUCCAGCCUCAGGGCAACUGAGUCUACCUUCCAAGGUGACGUGGACAGUCCUCACCAGAUCUGGGAUUCCCAGAGUGUGUCAGUCCAGGGAAAGGUAUAUGUGAUUGACUUGGCAAGAUCACAGGGCUGCACCCAGGAAGGUGUUGGCUCUUGAAGUCACUUACUCUGCCAAGGCCACAGUGCAUCCGGCUUUUCAGAGCACGAAGCCCCUUCCAACUGCGAUUUUCAUUCCUCACAGCAUCAGAGAUGGGUAUCACUGGCUGUGUUUUACAGAUGAGGAAACUGAGGCCCCCAGAGGAAGAAUCACAUGUCCACACUCAGAUGGGCUGAUGGAAAGGAAUGAACGUUUCACCGAGGACCUGCUGCAAGCCAGACCUGUUCCAUACAAGAACCAUGCCUCCAUGUUUCCCCCACUUGACAGAGGAUCAGACCAAAACCCAAACCGGUGAAGGCACAUGCCCGGGGGCCCAGAACUAGUAAGCCCAGAGCCAGGAUGUGAGCGUCGAUCUCCCGGGUUCUGGGUCCUGCUGCGUUCCUCUCCCCUCUGAGACUCAGAAAGGUUCAAGCUGGGCCAGGGUCACGCCUAUAGCAAGUGGCAAAGCUUGCUUGCCACCGGGUCUCACUCCAGAACUCUUGCCUUUCCCGUGAAACUGCAUUGCCUCAAUAACUUUUUUCGUGAGUAACUGGCUGAUACCAAAUGACCACAGUGUGACUCGAAGACAUACAGACCCAGGACAGAAAGGGGCAUGAACGUCAUGGCUGUUGUCACUGGUGGUCUUUAUGGCGGACAUAGCACGGCCAGCAUUGACAUCGUACGGCUCAGACGAGCGGAAGUCAGACUCGAUUUCUUCUACAACUGAGCCCGACUUGAUCACAGCUCCCUUCCCUCCAGUUUUAUUUCUGGGUGAGCGUUUAUUCUCUGCACAACAAUACAAUGCAUGAUCCUGCAUUUUCUUUUGUUAUAAAGGACAUUUGGGGGCAAUCAGUAAAAUCCGAAGUGUGUCGAUAGCUUAGAGAGUAGUACCGGAUAAUGGUGAUUCCCUAAUUUUAGUAAUUGUUCUGUGGGUAUGUAGGAGGCUGUCCUUGUUUUUAAGAAAUACUGUCGAAGUGGUUAGGGGUAAAGAGGUAUCGCUUCUGUAACUUUUAAAUAGUUCAGAAAAAACUAUACAUGCACUGCAGAAAAGCACACGGGUGGGGUAAAGCAAAUGUGAUAAAAUGUUAACAUUUGGGGAAUUGGGGUGAAGGGUAUCUUGGAAUUCUUUGCACCAUUCUUGCAACUUUUCUAUAAAUCUGAAAUGAUGUCAAAAGCAAAACAUUUAAAUUAAAAAAUGUAUCCUGUUGGGGGGGAUCAAAUUGAUGAGGAAACAGAAGGCUAGCUGAGGACAAA